rnacentral:lncRNA from 1 species
UAGUCGACUAUAUUAUGGUUGUGGCUUGGAUGGAAGUGGCAGUACCUAGUCCGGCCGGGUCUCGGAUUUUUCUGAGCGGUUUAGGAAACUUUAUUUCCUCUUCCUUGUAUUUAAUGUUAGCAUAUUCAAGUAGGAUGUUUUCCUUCAGAUUCGCGUAGGUCGAGCGGCUUAUCUGGCCCAAACUUGUCCGUUCAACCUUCUCGCUUUUCUUUGGCGGCUCUUCCUUUCUCUUCGUAGACAUAUAUUACUCAUCAAGGAACUGAUUUCAACAUUCAGAAUCCUUAUCAUGCAGAAUUUUGCUCCAAGAAUUGGCUUUUUAGUCUACAUAAACCAGAAACUAGUGAAGCAA